rnacentral:lncRNA from 1 species
ACACCACUUUCUGAGCAGCUACAUGAAGAGAGCACUUGGUGGGCUUUGGCCAUGGCUCCAUCUGAUAUCUUAGCUGAUAGCAUCAACAAUGAAGGAGUCAUCAGGUGCUGAAUAUGCAGUGUGGAAUAAUGGAGUAUUCCUAUUUUCGUAGAUUUUACAUGAUCGUGAAGAAAGCAAAAACUGACACAUACUUAUGUAAUAAUGAUAUCAAGGUUAUGAAGCAAAAAAAAUUGAAUAAGGCAGUGGAGAAUAUACGACAAGAGAAAGAAGCCAUCUGAGAAGCUGACUCCCUGCCCCAGUCAAGCCUUCAGAUGACUGUAGCCCCUGGCAAUAUCUUGGGGGCAAUGGAAGGAGACACCCUGAACCAAUCCACACAGAGAAGCUGACCCUGGAUUCCUGAGCUGGAGAGGCUUUCCUCAACCUACCUUCUCCAGAGUUCAGCUCAAGUCCUGAGAAGCAGGCCCAGAGGAAGGGGCUUCCAGGCUGCCAUCCAUCCCAUUGCUUCCGGCCCAGAGGCUGCCAUGAAGUGAAAAAUCUACUCUGCCACACACAUUCCUACUGCCAUAAUGCACUGUGCCAUCACAGACACAAAGCAACUGGGCCAAGUGUCAUUGGAAUGCAACUGGUUUGAGCAAGGAAAUUCUAUGGAAGGAUCUGAAGAACUGGAUUGAUCGGCCCUUUGCUGUCUAUCCCCACGUAAGAAGAGAACUGCAAGUGCCAAGGCUCAGAAAUGUUCAAGAGUCGGCAUCCUCUGAGGUAUGGUGAGAAAAAGGUUCUUGAGUGAGGAGCAGAGGGUGCCAUGGCCAGGGGCAUGGAGCAAUCCCAGGUUCCAAUCCCAGGUCUGUAUUUACUAGCUUUAUAACCUGGGAGGAGUUUGGGUAAGUCUUUGAGCUUUUCUUUCCUUAUCUAGAAAAAGGGACAUAACAGUACC